UCUUUCGAAUGUGUUUUUCUUUUGAAAGCCUUGCGGUGAUCUUAGCCCAGGGGACAAGGAUGCUGACAGUGCUCAGGGCUCAGACGAUGCUGUCCCUGCUCAUCUGUUCCCAGCACUGCGCCUUGCUUCUGCGUGCUCAGGGGCCACCUCAGUUUAAUCCUGGCUCCACCACUUACUAACCAUGAUGCGAUCCUGGGGUAGGGACGCAGCACACCAUGGAUGCUGACAGCUGUUCAGUCGAAGGGCACCCAUCCGCCUCUGCCCUCACUGAAGUCAUACUGUCCACAGAGAGUGGCCCAGCGUAUCUGUGCCAGCCGCUCCGCGUUCCACCUCCACCGCUCAGAGCCAAGCAGCUGCAUUCUAAACGCAAGUCUAGGCCUCGGCAGUGAUUUCUGAAAGGGCCAUGGAUGGUAUAUUUACCAGCCCCCUGUCAUCUGAUGAAGUGGCCCUGUCUGGAGAGGCGAGAGAGGGCAGACUGGAGCUGAAGUGGAGCUGGGAAACCAGCAGACACCCCCUUGCUUGUGGACUCAUCACUCACUCCUCUACUGGACAUCUCCCCUGAGCCCCAGUGGAUGUCAACUGCCAUUCUUUAAGCCCUGCCAGUUGGCAGGUGUCUGUUGUCCCCUUUAAGUCAAAGGAUCACAGUGGCCCUCAGUCCAAAGAGUCAUCUGAAAUCCAAAUGCCAAGCUGAGGUGAAGUUGAGAACACCCCGGAUCCACAGGGCCUUCUUUCCAUCCCUGUGGGCUAUCCUACCAACCUGAGAUGGACACUCUUCACUAUCACCCUGAAGGUGGGUGACUGUCCCAUGACCUGGGGCCCUCCACUGAAUGGAAGGAGAAAGUGGGGAAAAUGCGGGACUUCAUCUUUUUGUUUCCUGCCUGUGGAUGCAGUGUGGCCAGGAGCCUCACCUGCUGUCACCGUGUCACCGUGCCUUCCCUGCAGGGACGAGCCACACUGGAAAUCCGGGAAAGUCCUCCCUGAAGUGGCUUUUGUCCUGUAUUUUGUCACAGCAUGGGACAAGUCACCAGCACAAUGCCUCCUUUGUAGUGCCUCACUGCCAAGUCCCUGUCUGAGGCAGUGACACCCUGCUGACACAGGACCCUGUGUUGGCCUUGGUAGUGCCAAGAGUGCAGUUGUAUUAGCCUCUAUUUGCCUUUCUUUUGUUUGGGUUUGUUCUGUUGUCAUUUUUGUUGUUGUUUGUUGUUUGUUUUUUUGUUUAGGGCAAGCCUUAUGUAUCCAAGGCUGGUCUCAAACUUGCUAUGAAGGUUGGAAUGAUCUCAAAUUUAUGAUCCUUCUACCUCCAUCUCCCAAACGCUAGGAUUACAGGCAUGCUUCUCUACACUGACUUUGUGCAAUGCUGAGGAUGAAGUCCAGGGCCUCACACAUGUUAGGCAGGUACUCCACCAGCUGCCUGUGCCUUCAUCCAGUGUUUGUGCCAUCUAAGUCCUAUCUUUAGUACUCAGCGACUGGGCGUACAAGAUCCGUCAGGCCUAGGUACGUGCUGGUCUGAAUCAUUUUCACCCCAAAGCUCUUUAGGGUCACAGGCUUAAACCCAGAUAACAACACCAGGUUUUACUUUCUGGAAAUUCUCCCUGACCCUGCAUGCCCCUGUGCUGGGAUCAAGUUCAUAUGUGUGUAUGCACCUGUGUGUGCGUGUGU